rnacentral:rRNA from 1 species
UACAGAGGGUGCAAGCGUUGUUCGGAAUUAUUGGGCGUAAAGCGCGUGUAGGCGGCUUUGCAAGUCGGGUGUGAAAUCCCUCAGCUCAACUGAGGAAGUGCGCCCGAAACUGCAGAGCUUGAGUACCGGAGAGGAUGGCGGAAUUCACGGUGUAGCGGUGAAAUGCGUAGAUAUCUGGAGGAACACCGGUGGCGAAGGCGGCAUCCUGGACCAAUACUGACACUGAGGAGCGAAAGCCGGGGGAGCAAACGGG